rnacentral:rRNA from 1 species
CUAGCGACUUCAGAGUUUGAUCCUGGCUCAGGACGAACGCUGGCGGCGUGCUUAACACAUGCAAGUCGAACGAAGUGUAGCAAUACACUUAGUGGCGGACGGGUGAGUAACACGUGAGCAAUCUGCCCUAUACACUGGGAUAACACAGAGAAAUUUGUGCUAAUACCGGAUAAGACCACACUGCGGCAUCGCAGAGAGGUAAAAGGUCCGCCGGUAUAGGAGGAGCUCGCGGCCCAUUAGAUAGUUGGUGAGGUAACGGCCCACCAAGUCGACGAUGGGUAGCCGACCUGAGAGGGUGAUCGGCCACAUUGGAACUGAGAUACGGUCCAA